rnacentral:lncRNA from 1 species
UGUUUGUUAAAUGACAUCUAGCUUUGUCCAAUGAAUCAGCUAGUCUCUCUGAGAGUGGUUCUGGAAUGGGGCCUAGAGUUAGUUUUUUUUUUUUUAAAGGGACAACAUUUAUUCCUUUUCCAAAUGUUACAAUAAAACCAGGUGGAAGAGAAUGGUUUUAGCAGUUAGAAAAGAAAAAAAAAAAAGUACAAAUCUGGGGUUUGGCCAUUAAAAGUUAUUUACAACAAUGGGAGGGGGAAAAAAAAAAAGACAACAAGAAGUUGUUUCACAUUACAGACCUCCCCCCACCCCAAAGCUUAAUACUUGCUUACCAAGUCAAAAAAGAGACAGUUGAUUCACAAGCUGGAGGUUCGAACUUGAGUAAGACAUUUAUAAAAACCUAGACAGGGGCUCUGUCCUCCCCAGCCCAGGUGCCACUAGGCACAGCACGAGAGACUAGAAACUCAACAGGGGAAGGCUGGACACUCAGGAUUUGGGAGUGUAGGCACCCCCAGAUCUGGCUCAGGGAUUUGGGGAAUAAACAAAACCUACUUGGAAAAGAAUUGGGGGAGAAAACCAGCAACUGCCUUCUGCAUGGGUGGGGGGCAACAGCCCCUUCCUUUCUGGGCACAGGAAGGCAGCCAGGGCACCAGGUCCAGGCAGUGACCUCACAAGGACAGCACAGUUUUUGCAGCUUAGAGGUCACCCACCUGCCCCCACCCAGCUACUCAUUCUGCUCGCUGGCUGGUGUAGGGCCACUCUCCGGCCCCAAGGGAGUGGAUGGCUCUGUGGCCUGGGGCCCUGCCUCUUCUUCUGUGUCUCCGCCCUUGGAGGCAGCACCAGCCUCUGCCCCUUUGGCCUGGGGCUCCUGGCUCUCACGGGUGGCAACAGCCUUCCCUUCCUGGGCAGUGCCUUCCUCGCUGCAGGCACCGAUCUCCCCCUGCUCUUGCUCUUCCUCUGUGGGCGAGGAGGCAGACGAAUCGCCCCCACCCUCCUUCCGAUUUCUCUUGAANCCUGUCCGUUAACCUUAGCGGGGGAAGCGCCUGCUGCCUCCUCGGUGGUCACGUCGCCCCGGGGAGCCUUGGAGCUCUGGCUGCCCAUGGUGGGGGUUCUGCUGGGGGGCGCCCGGAGCCACCCCGGGCUCGCGCCGCAGGGGAUAGUUCGGUCGGGUGGGCCUGGCCGGCGGAGGGGUGGGGCUCACGCCUGAGGGGGAGGGGUGUCGGGGGGAAACCGACUGCACCCCCGCUCCGUGCCCGACCCGCUGGCUGCGCCCGCCGCCUCUCUGCUCCGCGCCAGAAUGCCCUAGAGUUAGUUUUUUUAAAAAGUGACCAGGUGACUCUAUUGUGCAGUCAAGUUGAGAACCAUACUGCUGUGACUAACACUGCAAACCUCAGCCAGAG